rnacentral:lncRNA from 1 species
CUCAGCCACCUGAGGAACCUCCUUUGCCAGACGAGGAUGAGGAAUUAUCUAGUGAAGAAUCAGAAUAUGAAAGCACUGAUGAUGAGGACCGACAGAGGUUUCCAUUAAAGGAUGUAGUGAGGAAUUCUGCCAGUAAUUCAUCUUGAGUCCUGAGAGAGAACAUAGCCUUUGAGUGUACCAAGCUCUAGUUUCAUGCUUCUCUUUUAUCUUCAGGAAAUGUAAC